rnacentral:lncRNA from 1 species
CCGAACCAGUAUAAAAAUCAGCAUUUGAAUUCUCUGAUCCCUACACUCUUUUAUUAAGUCGAUUAACCUGUUUUCAUAUUUGAUUAAGCUUACUACUACAUUGCAUAACUUUUACCUUGCAAUUCAAGAAAAGUGCAAAUACAUCUUAUUUUGUGAAAAAGAUUUUGAAAGUUUUUGUCUUUACGCAUCACCAAUUCACCUCUCUUGGUGUGAGAAAUUAAGCCAUUAUUUUUUUAACAAUAAGAUACCAGG